UGUUAGUGUAGCAGGAUGACUGCUUUUCCAGUGGCUCCGCCCACUCGCAGUAUUGUGCCCCUUUAAUUUAUUAUAUAAGGAGGGACCUGUAGAUCUGCUCGCUCUCUGACAGCUGAUACGCACCUCCCCCCUUCCGGGUUUACCUGGCUGCAGGUUCGGCAGACGCUCGGCACUCUCUGCAGGGUUGUGCAAAUUGUUCCACCGUGCAGGCGCUGGCAGGUCGGACUGCGUGUUUGCUCGUUUUGUCCCGGAGCUAUGCCACGCUGAGGUCCCGACUGCCCUGACCCGUUUUGGACUGCUGCUGCUUUGUGUGGGGAUAAAACCCACACUUUUUACGGACCUUGCCUGCUGCUUUGUGUGGGGAUAAAACCCACACUUUUUACGGACCUUGCCUGCUGCUGCGUUCGGGUGCUGAGGGCCUCACUGGUGAUCCUGUUUGGUGAUGGUGUCCCUUCGUGUGUAGUGUCUUAUUCACUCCCCUCCUUUGUUUUGCUUUGCCCUUGUGUGUUUGGAGUGUUAAUUUUGGAUUGUGGUGCUCCCAUUUUAAGUUUAUACUUUCACCCCUCACUCACCUUGAGCACAAAUGCCCCAGCCCUGGAAUACAUGAUAAUUUAUACAAAUAGGAUAACUUUUUUUAGAUUUGAAUUGUGCCCAAUAAACUGUUGUAUAUGCUUUUGGAAACACGUCUCUCGCCUGCUCAGUGUAACGAACUUGUGUUGUCCUUUUGUUUAGAUUUAGUAAUUUACCUUAUUCAUAGAUUUCUUUCUUUUCCCUGGGUGAUUUCUCCCAGGGUGGCGUUGCUGGUUUCCUUUAGUUUCUUUCUUUUUCCCCUAGUUAAAAACAUAGAUUAUUGGGGUAGUUCCUACCCCACCUCACGCUUGCCACAUUAGCAACAAUU
ensembl:lncRNA